CCGCGAAAGUUGAUCGAGGCUGAAAAAAGGCAGACAUAAAGGGGAAGAACUUCGCUGGGAGCUGGAGAGCUUUGUUGGCGAGUGAUUGAAAUCGGAUUGCAGAUUCUACCCUUAGAUGGAAAAUACCAGUCAGAAUGGCUGCUGUGAAGUUUGACCAAAAAAGCUCAUGAUAUCAGUUGCUCAGAUCAGAUGCCAACAGGGAGAAAGUGAACUAAAUCUUCAAGCAGUUAUCUUUAGAAGGGCUGCAUGUUCUAUUUUGCAAUCCAACUCUUGGGUGAACCGGGUAAACAAAACUCUUGAAUAAGCUAAGUUCCGCACUGAUUAUUUGACUUCAGACAUGCAGUUUGUGCCUUGAUUAUUUACACAAUGAGUAAGAAAAGCUAUUAAAUCAGACUAUUUUAAACCAAUCGUCCUUGAAAUUGUUAAAUUUAUCUUCUGCAGCCAAAAGUGAUGUUCAAAAGUAGGAUGUUUUUUUCAGAAUAAGAUUGCAUUUUCACCUUCAAAGAAAAUUUUUGAAUUGGCGAUUGUAUAACUUAGUGAGUAAUUGGGCUGCAGUACCAAUUGACUGGCUGAUUGACGUUCUUAAAGUAGCUGUGGUCUAUCCUGUUUGUUUUAUACAUUGACAAUGAGGGAGAAUUCCAGGUAAAAGUGAGAGAAAUACAGUAUCCAAACUAUGUACAAUAACUCAAACAUAAAAGGACUGACUGAUGGACGGAUGGACUGACUGACUCACUGACUGACUGAUUGCAUGACUGACUGUCUGACAAAGUGACUAAUGGAUUAAGACAGACUGACCACUGACUGCUGACUGACUGAUGGACUGACUGACCAAUUGAUUGACUUAUGACUGAGCACGUGAUUGGCUCAUUACUGACUGAUUGACUGAUGGACUCAUGACUAACUGACUCACUAAUUGACUCAGGACUGACUGAUUGACUCU